GAUUUCUGGUAUGGUGCGCCUGGCCCACGGUUGCAAAACCGCGAGUGUCGGUGUGCGCCUGCCAUCUUUCUAGUUAACUGGACGCACUUAACUGGGCGGUCAGCGAUCUAGAUCUUUUACUUUGAAAAAAUUAGAGUGUUUAAAGCAGGCUUGCGCUAUGAAUACAUUAGCAUGGAAUAAUAAUUUAGGACUUUGAUCCUAUUUUGUUGGUUUUAAGGAUUAAAGUAAUGAUUGAUAGGGAUAGUUGGGGGUGCUAGUAUUCACCGGCCAGAGGUGAAAUUCUUGGAUUCGGUGAAGACUAACUUAUGCGAAAGCAUU
rnacentral:rRNA from 1 species